rnacentral:rRNA from 1 species
AUUGAACGCUGGCGGCAGGCUUAACACAUGCAAGUCGAGCGGAAACGAUGAUAGCUUGCUAUCAGGCGUCGAGCGGCGGACGGGUGAGUAACGCGUAGGAAUCUGCCUAGUAGAGGGGGACAACAUGUGGAAACGCAUGCUAAUACCGCAUACGCCCUUAGGGGGAAAGGAGGGGAUCUUAGGACCUUCCGCUAUUAGAUGAGCCUGCGUGAGAUUAGCUAGUUGGUGGGGUAAAGGCUCACCAAGGCGACGAUCUCUAACUGGUCUGAGAGGAUGACCAGUCACACUGGGACUGAGACACGGCCCAGACUCCUACGGGAGGCAGCAGUGGGGAAUAUUGGACAAUGGGCGCAAGCCUGAUCCAGCCAUGCCGCGUGUGUGAAGAAGGCCUUAGGGUUGUAAAGCACUUUCAGGAGUGAGGAAGG